rnacentral:rRNA from 1 species
GACGAACGCUGGCGGCGUGCCUAAUACAUGCAAGUCGAACGCUUCUUUUUCCACCGGAGCUUGCUCCACCGGAAAAAAAAGAGUGGCGAACGGGUGAGUAACACGUGGGUAACCUGCCCAUCAGAAGGGGAUAACACUUGGAAACAGGUGCUAAUACCGUAUAACAAUCGAAACCGCAUGGUUUUGAUUUGAAAGGCGCUUUCGGGUGUCGCUGAUGGAUGGACCCGCGGUGCAUUAGCUAGUUGGUGAGGUAACGGCUCACCAAGGCCACGGUGCAUCGCCGACCGGAGAGGGUGAUCGGCCACAUUGGGACUGUGACACGGCCCAAACUCCUACGGGAGGCAGCAGUAGGGAAUCUUCGGCAAUGGACGAAAGUCUGACUGAGCAACGCCGCGUGAGUGAAGAAGGUUUUCGGAUCGUAAAACUCUGUUGUUAGAGAAGAACAAGGAUGAGAGUAACUGUUCAUCCCUUGACGGUAUCUAACCAGAAAGCCACGGCUAACUACGUGCCAGCAGCCGCCGUAA